AACGAACGCUGGCGGCAUGCCUAACACAUGCAAGUCGAACGAGACCUUCGGGUCUAGUGGCGCACGGGUGCGUAACGCGUGGGAACCUGCCUUUAGGUUCGGAAUAACUCAGAGAAAUUUGAGCUAAUACCGGAUAAUGUCUUCGGACCAAAGAUUUAUCGCCUUUAGAUGGGCCCGCGUAAGAUUAGCUAGUUGGUGGGUAAAGGCCUACCAAGGCGACGAUCUUUAGCUGGUCUGAGAGGAUGAUCAGCCACACUGGGACUGAGACACGGCCCAGACUCCUACGGGAGGCAGCAGUGGGGAAUAUUGGACAAUGGGCGAAAGCCUGAUCCAGCAAUGCCGCGUGAGUGAUGAAGGCCUUAGGGUUGUAAAGCUCUUUUACCCGAGAUGAUAAUGACAGUAUCGGGAGAA
rnacentral:rRNA from 1 species